rnacentral:rRNA from 1 species
CCUACGGGAGGCAGCAGUGGGGGAUAUUGCACAAUGGGGGGAACCCUGAUGCAGCGACGCCGCGUGGGUGAAGGAGCGUUUCGGCGCGUAAAGCCCUAUCGGCAGGGAAGAAGUUGACGGUACCUGAGCAAGAAGCCCCGGCUAACUACGUGCCAGCAGCCGCGGUAAUACGUAGGGGGCAAGCGUUAUCCGGAUUUACGGGGUGUAAAGGGUGCGCAGACGGGAAUGGAAGUUAGUAGUGAAAGCCCGGGGCCUAACCCAGGGACUGCAGUUGGAACUGCAUUGCUGGAGUACAGGAGAGGAAAGUGGAAUUCCUAGUGUAGCGGUGAAAUGCGUAGAUAUUAGGAGGAACACCAGGGGCGAAGGCGACCUGCUGGACUGUAACUGACGUUGAGGCCCGAAGGUGUGGGGAGCAAACAGGAUUAGAUACCCGUGUAGUC